GGGGGAAGGGGUGUGUCACAGCCAACCGCCCUGCUUGAAAUCACCCCGCUUGCACAAAGCGUGAUUUAUGCUCUAGAACGUGAUCCUUUGUGAGGGACAGAGGUGAACAGUUGAUUCUGGGCUUUUCGAUGCCGUCCGUUCCUUUUGUCCCGCGCGGCGCGUCUUCGUGGGGUUUUCGAGGCCUCUCAAAACCUCGCAUGUGUUCACGGUGGGAGGAAUUUUUUUUUUUUCCCCCAUCGCCUGAAACACACAAAUACAUCAUCACGUGACCCAACACUGACAACUGCAGUCUGCCGCAGAGAGGGACAGUGCUAGAAAGGAAUUUCCCCCCCGGGACAGAUCGGAACAGACUCGGUGAACCGACGCUGUCUUCGGGGCUGUGCGGCGAGUCUGCAGCAGCAGCAACUGGUGGAGGCGCUCUGAGUGAGAUCCCAUGACGUUACAUCUUUGAGGCUGGUCCCUGACUGCUACUCUGCCUUCUCUACUGAUGUCGCUGUGACGCUUCACUGGAUAACUGAGUCACACUUGUUUCAGCUUCACCUCGGUUCGUCCUGAGCAUCCACAUCACCGACAUGAUGUUUGUCCGGUCUGGACCGAUUCCCGGACAUUGGUACACUGAUAGCAGGGACUUCAGAGGCCACUAACUAAGCAUCAGGCCCGUACGAGACGCACUAGGCCUUUCCAGUAGGCCCCGUGUCAUGAUUCACACAUCAUUAAACACACAAAACAAAUCUCACACAUUAAACUUGGAUUGUGCAUGUGAGAGACUAAUAAUAUCAGGCCGCCUCGGAAUGAUCAACAAUCGCUUUUUUUGAAGAAUGCCUCCUAAUUUUCUAAACCUGUUCUGCAAGUGUCGUCUAAGCAGAAGCCUUCAAACCACCGGCCACAACGCGGGGAACCGAUUCCACCUCAUGUCAGUUUCUGUCACCAGAUACCCGUCCUUCUGCGAGCAGCGGCGUUUUUUGGGGGACGCGAGCGAUCGCCGGCGGUUUCCGCGCCGAACUGAACAAACGCUUCGGGCCGCUUUUGUUCAGGAGUCGCCGGUGACAUCGGAUCGCACUGCGGAUCAUGUUGUGCGGAGGCUUCUCGUGGCGACGACCAGAGGCGGUGUGCGCUUCUGCGCCGCUGUCGGGGUCUUUUCUCCGGGUUGUGAAAGAGAAACGAAAUCUAAAGACUUCCUGCCGGGAACACAUUGAGGUGUUGGCACGGCAUCAGGAGUCACUACCCAUUGAUUCUGCGUUUCACUAUAGGCCAAGAGAGAGACGCCCGCUAAUGGAUGUCCCACGGAAGGAAAAAGA
ensembl:lncRNA